rnacentral:rRNA from 1 species
GUAGGUGGCAAGCGUUGUCCGGAUUUACUGGGCGUAAAGGGUGCGUAGGCGGACAAUUAAGUCAGAUGUGAAAUCCCAGGGCUCAACCUUGGGGCUGCAUUUGAUACUGGUUGUCUAGAGUGCAGGAGAGGAGAGUGGAAUUCCUAGUGUAGCGGUGAAAUGCGUAGAUAUUAGGAAGAACACCAGUGGCGAAGGCGACUCUCUGGACUGUAACUGACGCUGAGGCACGAAAGCGUGGGGAGCGAACAGGAUUAGAUACCCUGGUAGUCCACGCCGUAAACGAUGAGCACUAGGUGUCGGGGGUCGAACCUCGGUGCCGCAGUUAACACAUUAAGUGCUCCGCCUGGGGAGUACGGUCGCAAG